CCCCCUGCAGAAGAAGCUCCCUGCUCUGCUUGAAGUCAAGGAAGAAAUUCAUAACCAGUUUUUGGCUUCAUGUUACUUUGGAGUAUCCUGAUCUUUUGGACAAAGCUGAGAUUUUUUUUUUUAUGCCGAUUCCGACAAAACUUUGUGAAACCGGAUUUUCUGCACUGGUGGCACUAAAGACCAAAUACAGGAGUAAGCUUAAUGUUGAGCCAGACCUCCGCUUGCAGCCCGACUGUCACAUUUGGUUUCUAACAGCACCAGCCCUCUUGCUAGCUCUGACCGAAGGGGACGUGAACUGUCC